CACAUGUGGCAAUAAUAAGGCCAAAUGUUCAUGAAAGGCAAUAUUAUAACACUAAGGUGAGUUUUUCCUCUGUGGAAAACUAUGAUGACCACAACUUAAAUACUAUAGAGGGGAGAUACACCACACUACUCUAUGCAUGAAACUUGUGACUGUAUGCAAUACAGUUGAGCGUUGUAAAAGUAUAUUGGAAGAAUGUUUCAGGGAUGCUGGUCACAAUUUGUGCAAUACCUUAAAUGGGUCCACAAGU